GCAAGUCGAACGGGAUUGUUUAAUUAGAAGCUUCGGUGGAAAAUUAGACAUGAGAGUGGCAAACGGGUGCGUAACACGUGAACAAUCUGCCCUAAAGAUCGGAAUAGCUCGGGGAAACUCGAAUUAAUGCCGGAUGUGGCACGGAAGCGCAUGCUUCUAUUGCUAAAGCUUGAGAUGGCGCUUUAGGAGGAGUUCGCGGCCUAUCAGCUUGUUGGUGAGGUAAUGGCUCACCAAGGCAAAGACGGGUAGCUGGUCUGAGAGGAUGAUC
rnacentral:rRNA from 1 species